AUUGAACGCUGGCGGCAUGCUUUACACAUGCAAGUCGAACGGUAACAGGCCGCAAGGUGCUGACGAGUGGCGAACGGGUGAGUAAUGCAUCGGAACGUGCCCAGUCGUGGGGGAUAACUACUCGAAAGAGUAGCUAAUACCGCAUACGAUCUAUGGAUGAAAGCGGGGGACCGUAAGGCCUCGCGCGAUUGGAGCGGCCGAUGUCAGAUUAGGUAGUUGGUGGGGUAAAGGCUCACCAAGCCAACGAUCUGUAGCUGGUCUGAGAGGACGACCAGCCACACUGGGACUGAGACACGGCCCAGACUCCUACGGGAGGCAGCAGUGGGGAAUUUUGGACAAUGGGCGCAAGCCUAAUCCAGCAAUGCCGCGUGCAGGAAGAAGGCCUUCGGGUUGUAAACUGCUUUUGUACGGAACGAAACGGCUCUGGUUAAUACCCGGGGCUAAUGACGGUACCGUAAGAAUAAGCACCGGCUAACUACGUG
rnacentral:rRNA from 1 species